rnacentral:lncRNA from 1 species
GCACGGCAAGAAAUAUUCAACAAGGACACAAAGAACUAUCUCAUAACAGGAAAAUAAGAAGGUAAACAAUUAGAGUCAAUAGCCUUCUAAUGAUCAAACAUGGUUUUUAUUCAAAUUACAACUUGAACAUCAAAUUCCAGAUACAAUUCCAGUCUAGUUACAGCUUGUAGCACUUCACCUAUUAGCAAAUGGUAUGGGGAAAUACCUGAAUGUAAGGAAAGUACAACAAAGUAGUCACAUACCAGCAACAACAAAUUUGAAAUAACAUCCAGAAAUUAGAGCCGGAAUUGCUUUUGAAAAACCAAGAACUUUAUGUUUGAAACCCAAUCUUCAAGCUCAGUUGAAGAUCAACAAUAUAAGGAUCUCCAUAUUUUUAUCAAAACCAAAUUCAACUCAUUGUUUAACCUUGAGAUUUAGAGAAGAAUUUCAGAAAUGGACAGUAUUCUCAGCUAUUUUUUGUGUAUUUUUUCAGGAACAUUUUUGUUUUAUCCUCUAAAAUUAUCUCUCGGAACUUUUUCUCAAAAUUUCUAGCUUCUAAACUUUUAAUUUUAAAUUUCAGAUCUCUCGUCUUCUAAAACUUGUUUUGCAAGGCAGGGGUACUGCCUUUUAUUGGCAAAUACUAGGGCAUUUUCAGAUUUUUCCUUUGCACUUUAGCCACCCUCUUUUGUUUUCAGUUUUUAGUUUAAAAGUCCUUAAGGGACUGACUUGCUACCUAAGUCAUAUUACUAAGUUUCUAAAAUUCUAAUUGGAACCCAAUCUAGAAGGUUCUAAGGGUUUCCAUUUUCAAUUAUUGCACUAUUCUUUAGUUAGAAUUACCCAAUAUACCCUCAAGACCCCUGAAUUUUACCUAAGUCUACCAACUAGGUAUCUGGGCCAAGUGACACAAUUCAAAUGGCGUACUAAUUUAAGGGAUGAGUUCACCAAGGCCCAAACCCCCUAAUUUGCAAAACCAAUCAGCAUAUCUUAACAAAAACCAAGAGAACUGAAUUAAACUAAGGAGAAAUGUCUAAGCUGAACUAAUUCUAAAUAAUAUGGAUCCUAAAACUAAUUUUAUUAUUAAACUAGUAAGAACAAUAAAUGACCAAUUAAACCAAACAGUACAAUAUUAAACGAAAACAAAUAAAUCAUGCAAAAAAGAGUAAAAUCAAACAAACAAAAAGCAAAUGACAAGAACAAGAUUAAACUAUGCGAUUACAAUCUAAAAAAGAUCAGAACCCUAUGACUAUGAGGCAAAUCAGGCACAAAAAUAAAAAUAAAAUAACAAAGGAGGCACCAGGCAAGAACAGAAGCAAAAUAUUAAACGGAAACAAAUAAAUCAUGCAAAACGGUAGAAUCAAAACAAACAAAAAGCAAAUGACAAGAACAGGAAUAAACUAUGGAUUAGGGAAGAGGGGGCGUUGGAGGUGGCGUGGUGUCAUUUUUGCAGUGUUUUGUGGCAGCACCACUGGACACGAAGACGGCGGCGGCUGGGGUUUUGAAUAUUCGAAAAGCUUGGGUAGGAUUUGAAGGAAAACACGUUCAUAUCCGUAAUGAGGAGCCGGAGACGAGGAUGUGGUGUAAGUUUGGCGGCUAUUAGACAAUUGCUGCCGGUAGAGGCGAAUUCCGGCUGGCGGCAAACGAUGGCAGGCGGCGAAACUAGGGUUUCUAUAUUUGAGAGCGACGGAGCAUGAGGGGUGGGGGUAGGGGGCGUUAGGACAAUUAUAUAUAUAGAGCUUCAGUUCUCAACCGAUGGAUCCAUCAACCUCGACGGUUGAGAUCAACUGAGGGGCAGAAACGACGCCGUGUGGGGAAAUUAAAGGGUUGGACCGGGUUUGAGGUGUCUUAGGCAAGGUAUGGGGCAAAUGGUCGGGUAUUUUGAUAGAUUUUGGUUUGGGUUGGCCCAAAAAUUGGGUAGUUUUAUAAAGACUCUUAUUUCUUUUAACUUUCUCUUCAUUUUCUCUUCUUUUUUUUUCAAAAGUUAUUAAAAGUCCUUAAUUAAUUACAAAUCUCAAUUUUACCUAUAAAAUGCAAACCGAUCCUAUAUAAUUGUUAUCAAAAAAAAAUUAAAAUAAAAAAAGUACCUAAAAAUUCAAAAAUUAAAACUAAAAGAGCAAAUCGAACCUAUUUUUGGUUUUUCCUUUUUAUUAAAUGGCUAAUUGCUAAUUAAUGCUAGAAAAAUGUCAAAUCUACUUCAAAAUGCGCAUGCGACAUAUUUUAAUACUUUUUAAUAAUUAUCUAAAUAAAAAUACAAACAAAUAUACAAACAAACACGAAAACUACGCAAUUAUUCCUACGAAAUCAAAUAAUAAAAAGAAAAAUUCUAAAUCUAAGAAUUUUGUAGGAAUAAUUUACGCGGGAAAAAAAUUACAUGCUCACACAAAUAUUGAAGCCUUCACGUGAUUUGGUCAGAGAGAAACGUUUGAGAUCGAAUCAAAUAUGAACAAUCCUCAAGUCUCAGAAAAUCAAAAUGCUAACAGUCUUUUGACCUCUUGUAUUGUCUAAGCAGACGAGAGAGAAGGAGGAGAAGGAGUCAUAGGAUUCAAAGAAUGACAGAAAAAUUACUUGAAAUCGGCAAGGCAAGCUUCUACCAUGGUUGAGAAGAAGUUGGAUUUACACUAAGAAGGGAAAGAGGUGAUGGCAACGUAUGAGAUAAGAGAGUGGGAACCCUAGUUAUUUUAGGUUCUUGGGUAACAUAUGAGUUUUGGGCUGCUAUGUGGGCUUGAUUUGAAGUGACUGAAAAUAGCAAGAUUUGGGCUGUUGAAAUUCAAAAAUGACUAUCCCAAAUAUGCCAAAAUUAUUGGGCUUUUUUGGACUUGAUUUGGAUUCCUC